rnacentral:lncRNA from 1 species
UCUCAAAUUAUUAUCAAUAAUGUUGAUGCACUAGUGUCGUGUUCGGUGUCUGCAUCCUAGUACUUGUUUUGAAACGUCUCAAAUAUAGACACAACUAUUAAUUAAUGCAGUAUAAAUAUCAUUAGCAAAAGUUAUUGGCAGUUUCUAAUGUACUAUAUGGAUUACUAUUUUUGCAGUGGGUGUUACACAAUUGGAGUGAUGAUGAUUGCAUAAAGAUACUAAAAAAUUGCAAGAAUGCAAUAUCAAGAAAAGGGAAAGGAGGAAAAGUGAUCAUCAUAGAUGUAGUAAUAAAUGAAAAAGAAGAUGAGCAUGAAAUGACAGAAGUGAAACUUUUACUUGAUGUGACUAUGAUGACCAGUCUCAAUGGAAAAGAGAGAAAUGAAAAGGAAUGGAAGCAACUUUUCUUACAAGCUGGCUUCAAAUCUUAUAAGAUAUUCCCCGCAUUUGGUUUUAGGUCUCUAAUUGAGCUUUAUCCGUAAGCCGUUCUGUAAUUUACUAAUUAAUUGUAAUUUUGCUUGUGUAACAAUUGUUGUUAAUCACAAGUGGUUGAUGGUUGAUGUGGUCGGUGUGUGAGUGUUGUAAACUCGGAAUAACAAGCUAGUUUGAUUCUUACUGAUAAGAAAAAUAUAUAGUUGUAAAGGAGCAGCUCGUAUUUAACUUAGGUGAUAUAGGUAGCCCUUUUGCAGUGGAAUAAGAAACAAGAAUAAGUAUACUUGGGUCAGAUUGAUUUCUUAAGUUAAUAUGCAAAUAGUAUUGUAUUUCCUUGCACAAAUUGUUAUAGCAGACUUUGAUGUAGCAACUUGAUAUUUGGUAGUAAAACAUGUUUUAUUAAAUAAAGUUGAAUUGAAUUAUCAACAUGCUAUCCAAAUAUAGGCAUAAUUUCACGCAUUUGUUGCAUUUCCAUGUCCAAGAGUAGGAAAUGCAACAAACAGUAUGGAUUUCACGCAUCUCGUGUGAAGAUGAAGGCAAUAAGCACUUUACCUACAUUACGAGUAUUAGGGGAACAAUAAAUGAUUAUAGGCAUAAUUACAUGGCACAUGUACUAUGUACUGUCCACAAAUUUAGUUGAAUUGGCAGAAAUGUCGAAAUUGUUAAUGUGUAUCAUGACAGGAGUUCGAACCCAGACCCUUCCACUUUGUAUGUGUGAGUUUUCAAUGACUUUUGUCAUUUCGUCUAUCUACAAAAAAAAAACAUAUAUGACAUAUGUACUAUGUGAUGAAAGUUUAUUAGGUCUAUGUUGGCCGCCUGACCUCUUUGAUGCUAAUGACGACCGUCUGACUCAUGAAAUAUUUUAGUAAUGUGCUUGUGUAUCUUUUGGGUCCGACAAUCACUAUUUAUCGAGCUUUAUAAUUAUUGUCAUGAACAAUAACCUUUACGGCACUUAUAUUUAUAUUUAUGUGAUAAGAAAAAAUCUGGACAAUCAUGAUCACGUUUACAUGGAAUGAUAACUGUAAUGAAAAAAGAGAAAAAACAAUGUUAUUAAAAUGCGAUAAAAUAUUGUAUACGAAGGAAAGAAGGAGAUUUAAAAAGGAGAUAAAAAUUGCUUACGAGCUGACAUUUGCGUUGAAACAAUAAAUAGGGAAAGAAGGAUUAUCAUAACAUAAACACACUUGAAACUUUUAUCCAUAUUUUUCACUCUUUGCAAGUAUCAAAUAGAAUUUAUUGUAUCACUUUUAUUUAUAAAGUUCAUGUUUUCUUUAUAUCAAUU